UACGUAGGGUGCAAGCGUUGUCCGGAAUUAUUGGGCGUAAAGAGCUCGUAGGCGGUCUGUUGCGUCGGCUGUGAAAACCCGGGGCUCAACUCCGGGCCUGCAGCCGAUACGGGCAGACUAGAGUUCGGCAGGGGAGACUGGAAUUCCUGGUGUAGCGGUGAAAUGCGCAGAUAUCAGGAGGAACACCGGCGGCGAAGGUGGCCCUCUGGAUCGUUGCUGACGCUGAGACGCGAAAGCGUGGGGAGCAAACAGG
rnacentral:rRNA from 1 species